UUUUCUCAAAAGGAUAUUCAAAAGGGUGAAUUCGUAAUCUCGUUUUGCCUUUGUUCCCUGAGCUGCCGCGUGUUUUUGCGCUCCCAUCUAUCUACAGCGACGUACGUGUUGAUUCUGUGUUUCUUUUACGUUAAUGGGAACGGAAAGGGGGCUCUGUUAAUUUCCAAGGAAAAAACAACAUAUUCAUUUUGUGCUCAAAUCAACGAUUUACGAACAAACAAAAAGAUUUCUCCAGCUGAGGAAACAAAGGAAACACUCUUCACUGACAAAGGUCACAGAGAACAAAGGAACACUUCAUUUACUUUGAGGAGCACAUCCAAAUCUGGAUCUCUCAUCUCCGUUACAGUAGAUGGAAGAAGUUAUUCGAAUUGCUAACAUUGAACCCCAAGAAGACAAAGGUGAAGAUCAAGGACGUCCAAGGGUAGAAUAGUAAAUUUAACCUGACAAGUACACACUCUCAUGAUUUUAGAACGCUCCAUCUUACUCAUUAGCACAGAAUAGACGCAAUAUUUUCAACACGAGAAUCAGUUCUUCCAUUUCUCUUGCUCCAACUCCAACAGCAACGAAUUUCAGGUGUACCAGGAACCGAUAUAAAGUUGAAGGAGAUCGGUCAUGAACCAUGUAGGCAUUGAAGCAGCUGCCAAUGAUUUCAAUGGUAACCGGGCUCUCUCAAGUCUGGAUGCAGAAGGUUGCACGGAAGAAAGAAUGUUUAGGUUGGUAGCUUGCCAAAAUUUACUUCAACAAACAAAAGACGAUAUCCUGAAAAAAAAAGAGCCUAACAAUCGCAAUGGUGGAUGUUUCUUGAAAGUGGAAUAUGUGCAGGAUGAAUCACUUGGUACAAUUUUUAAUGUUGAUAAAAGCACGAGUGAGGAAUCGACAUCAUACUCAUUUGCUACUCCAGAAAAUCUUGACAUCUUAGAUGGACCAUUGUCAAAUCGCUACUUUAGCUACUAAGGGAAUGGACAAGCAACUAUUGAAAAAUACAAAGCAACGAAAUAUUUCUGGCAAUGGACAAUAUUUGCAAUACUGUUAUGUGAUUUAUGUUUCCAUGGUGCAAAGUACGAACAGUGGUAAUAAUACAUUUUGUUGAUCAUGUAUCAUAGGAUGGUGGAUAGGAGCUAAUGAGUCAAUGAGUCAUACGCGUGGGUUUGAUUUUGCAAGUAUAUUAAAGGAAGUAUUAGAAAAGUAACUAUAA